UGGACACUAAUUCAACUGCAUUUAGAAAAUUUUACUAGAAAACAAAAUUCUUUACAUAAAACGGAUACAUGUACGGCCUCGCCUUCAAACCCCAAAAGACAGCAUCGAUCUUUUCUUUCAUCAGUAUGUUUAGGAUAAAUCUCGCAAAUUUUCAAUGGAUGUCACCACUAGCUCCUUUUACUUGAUCCUGAUCACGAUCCCUCGUCUGCCUAUCCUCGUAAUGCUCAUCAGCUUCCCUAAGAAAGUUGGAAUGUCGAAGGCUCUUGGAUGAUCAGCUUGAAUUCUCGGGCCACGAAGUAAAGUCAUGUACUUCUCCAUCACCUUUUUUUUGUUUCUUGAAAUAUAUUCGGACAACCGUAUUAUCUUCCAUUUUAUUAAGAAAUUCGUAUUCCGUGGUAAGCUCUCUAAUUUGAUAAUCAAACUUGAAUGAACACCUCUUUUCUAAAGAUGCAAAUGCAAAGCAAUCAUAAUCAAAACCAAAACGAAACGGGUUAAUAUAAAACAAAAGCAAACAAGAAAAAAUAAAGUACCUAUUCGGGCAACCACUAGGAGUUUGGAGUAGCUCUACCUAGGUUGGGCUCCUAAGGUUCACUAUAUGUAGUUUGACUUCUAGUGCAAGAAUACCCGAACCAGCAGAUUCCUCGAUCCUCACCCAUUAUAGGCUCAUAUGGACCAAGUUCGGUUCAGGGGAAUACAUUUCCCUAUGACUAUACAGAGAUGAAAAUCUCACGAAGGCAUAGGUACGGAUGUAUCCCGAAAGCGAUCCAAUAUCCUAUACGAAGGUGAAAACCUCACGAAGGAAUAGUUUCUCACUCCAACUUAAGGAGUAAAAUCGUCCAUAGAAUGCAAAAUGCAAAUAAACUAACAGACUUAAAUCAAUUAAGCAAACAUAUCAGGAUGAAAACCAAUAAAUGCAAAGGGGAAAUCGUGAUUUAAAACAAAUUUUGGUUUUAAGUAUGUAUAAGUAUUUUUUUCUUUUUUUGCAUAUAUUUCAUCUUUUAUAUGCAUAUAUACACCUAUAAAUAUAUAUACAUAUUUUAAAUCAUAUACAUAUAUUUAUAUAAAAAUACUUACCUAUAUUUCUUUAUAUGUUUCAUAGUUUUAAAAUAUAUACAUACGUAUGUUCUUGUUUUAUAUCAUAUAUUUUAUAUUCUUCAACUUUAUUUAUUUCCUUUAUUGUUUCAUCGUUUCGCGUAAUGCUUACCUUUUUUUUAUGCUCAUUUUAUUUUGAUUUGACUCAUUUAUUUACUUAUUAUCUUACAUAGUCAAUUCGCCUAUUCUUUUAUUUAUAGUUGCUCAUGCUAUUUAUGCUUGCAUUAUCGUAUUCAUUAUUGUUUUGUUAUACAUGCCAACAAUUUGAUUUAUUUUUGCAUUUUUACCAUGACAUCUAUUUCAUUUUACUCGAUAUAUCAAAAUUUGUUCCAAAUAAAUAGCAUUUCGUAUUUUGAGAUUCAAAAAAGUUGUAUCCUAACUUACAGGAUUUUUAUUUUUCUUAAUAUAUCUAAAUAUAUGAAUCUUUUCAAGCAAUUUUUACGAUUUCGGGAUUUAACAAAAGAUCAUAUUCUAACUUACGGGACAUGAUUUCUUUUCUAACUCGAGAUAAUCGAAUAUCUCAAAUAAAUAAAUUUUCCAACAUUCGUAUCAAGAAUUUUAAACAUUACAUCCCGUAAGUUGGGACGUAAUUCUCUUUCUUGAUUUCUCAAAAAUUUACCAACAUUGUUCUUAUCCCCAAAACUACAAAUCCAACAAAUCUAAAAUUUUUUAAACUUAUUAGCAUAUGCAUAGUUUUAUAUAAGAUUAUAUCAAAAGUGAUUGCCAAUCGUUUUCAAAAAGUUUUAGAUGUAUGCAUUGCCCAAAGUACUUUUGUGCCAAGAAGACUCAUUACAGAUAAUGUCAUUUUAGCUUAUGGGUUAAUGCAUACACCCAAGCAAAGAAGAAUAUAGCAACAUGGAAGUUUAGCGCUAAAAUUAUACAUGAAUAAGUCUUCCAAUAGAGUGGAAUGGGUCUUUUUGAAAAAAGUUUUGAAAAAUUUAAGGUUUAUAAAGUCUUUUGUGACUAUAAUGAUGGGAUGUGUUACAUCGAUAAGUUAUUCGAUUUGUCUAAAUGUAGAGCUUGGCGAAAGAUUCAAACCAAUGAGAAGAUUGAGACAAGUUAACCCGUUAAGCCCUUAUUUAUUCUUAAUUUGUAGCAAGGGGUUAUCAUCGUUAAUAAGGCUAGCUAUAUAGGAUGGUAAAAUUAAGGGGGCUAAGGUGCGUCGAAAAGGACCUACUAUUACUCGUCUCCUCUUUGCAGACGAUUGCAUUCUUUUUGGAGAUGCCAUGGAAAGGGGAGCUCAUAACCUUAAAAUAAUUUUACGAGAAUAUGAGUGCUGUUUUGGUCAAUGCAUAAAUUUUUACAAGUCAGUGGCAUUUUUUAGUUCAAACGUUUAGGAACAAAAGAGGGAGCAAAUUGCAGGUAUAUUUGGAAGUCCAAACUUUUAGAGAUCUAGAAAAAUACUUGUGAUUGCCUAAUAUGAUAGGGAGGGACAAAAAAAGGAAUUUCCAAUUACUAAAAGAUAAGAUGAUGAGUAAAAUUAAAUGUUGUGUCCGAGACUCUUGUUGGUUAGAGGAAGGGAGGUUUUUAUAAAAGCAAUUUUAUAUACAAUUCCCACUUAUGCGAUGGCAUGCUUUUUGUCACCAAAAUCGUUUUGUACAGAAUUGGAAAACAUUAUGAGUCGAUUUUGGUGGCAAAAAAGUCACGACAAACGGGGGAUCCAUUAGUGUGAGUGGAGAAGGCUUGGUAAACUAAAAGAGGACGGAGGAAUGGGAUUUCAGUGUUUAUAAAAUUUUAAUGUAGCAAUGUUAGCAAAACAAGGGUGGCGUUUGAUUUGUUAUUAGGAUUCAUUAUUAGCAAAAUCAUUAAAAUCAAAGUACUAGCCAAAUUCUAAUUUCAUGCAAGUUAGGUUGGGGACAUUACCAUCCUAUACCUAGAGGAGUAUAUGGGAGGUAAAAGGACUCCUUGAAAAAGGUUUUUGCUGACGAAUUGGAUCAGGAAAACAUGUUCAAAUUUGGGAUGAAGCUUGGAUCCCAGGCACUAACGACUACAAAUUAGAGAAUUCAAAUAUUGAUCAAUGGUUGGGACAUGUAUCAAAGCUUAUUGAAUAGGAUACAAACAAAUGGAAAGAAGAGUUCAUAAGGAGUACCUUUCACCCCACAGACGCCGAAAUUAUCCUGUGCAUCGCCCUUCAUUUAGAGGGGGAAAUGGAAAGAAUGGUUUGGUGCGGUGAAACGUCAGGCAAGUAUAGAAUGCGGAGUGGGUAUAAAAUUUUAAUAUAGACCAAAAGCCAAACAAAUAUGUAAGCUAACCACAAUUAUUACAAGCCACUGUACAAAAAACUAUGGUCGAUUGAUUUUCCCUCAAAAACAAAAUUCCUAGUCUAGAAAACUCUAAAUAAUUAUCUACCUACUUUCUCUAAUUUUUUCCAAAGAAGAUUGGCCAGUAGUAGUAAUUGCCCUAGAUGCAUCAACUAUCCCGAAACUACAUAUCAUGUAUUCAAGGACUGCCCUUUUGCUGUUGCAGUUUGGUCAAGGUUGGGCUUUAGAUGGUCCCUAAAACAAAAUCAAUUGCAAUAUAAGGACUGGGUGAAGAUGUUGUUUCAAAAAGAAUCAAGUCAACAAAUAAAGAUUAUUGUAGGGACCAUUUAGGGGUUUUGGAUGGCUAGGAAUAAAUUGGUACAUGAGAAUUUGGUUCAGUUUGAAACCUGCCUAAUUCAGUUUAUCCAAAGCUAUAUAAAGGAAAUUGAUGGAGUAAAGAAGAAAUUACCUGUGAACCCAGUACAAAAGGAAAAUUGGAAACCCCCGGAAGGAUUGAAUGUAAAAAUUAACUUCGACGCUGCUUUCGACAGACAGAAAAAAAGAUCAUGCAUUGGAAUUGUGAUCAGAAAUUCUGACGGUGACAUCCUAAAAUCAAUAAUCUAUGAAAACGAGCACAUAUCGACAACCUUUGCAGCCGAGGCUCUCGCAUGCGUCCAAGUAGGGAGAUUUAGGGCAGAAUCUGGUUUCCUACGAGUUGAAAUUGAAGGCGAUGCGUUAUCUAUAUUUUGGAAAAUACAAAGAUAAGAUGAAGAUAGAUAAAAUAUAAGGGCCUUUAUUUCUGAUGCAAAACGAAUGAGAAGGAACUUUAUCUCUUGUAGAUUUCAACAUGCAAGUAGACAAGCAAACUUAGUGGCCUAUUCCCUAGCAAUAGAAGGGUUAAAAUAUAGAGAAAAUACUCAUCUGAAUAUGAUCGGACCUAGUGUGGUCGUUAGGGUCGAUGCGAAUGAUAGGAAUGGUGUCACCGAAGGUAGCAGAGGGGUUAGGACUUAAAAUCAGGACAUGAGAAGGGCUGUUAAAAGAAAAAGGGAAAACAUAUCAGGGAAAGGAACGUUGAGUUGUAAAUUAUUAGAAUAAGAAAUGGGAUAAUAUAAAGGACGGGUACCUCAGAUAAACAGAUGGUAGAAAUCCGGCAACAAAUAAUGCGAGUUAAGUCCGCCAUUAAAGAGGUACGAGUCAUGUAAUGAGGGUGGAGUGUGUGGAUUUGCUUCGAAGCAUUGAAAGGACGAAAUAGGUAAAGAAGACGGAGGAAGCACAUAAAUGGAAUUGGGUGCUGGUUUGAUUUUUUAGGGUUUGUUACUUUUUUGUUGUUUUUUCUUAGGAUCUGGA
rnacentral:lncRNA from 1 species